GGGGCUGUUUAGCUUCGACAGUGAACCUUAAUUCUCGUUAGGCGGCAUGCCGUUAAUGCUCUAGAAACGUAAAAUUAGAGCAAAAUCAUAAAUGCCAAUAAAGCAUUUAGCGGACUUCGGUUCGCACCAGCAUUGGCCUAAUUGCUGAUGCCAUCGCCCAGAGGUGAGCUUAGGGGCCUUUGAACGCGGUGUCAUAUACUCUAAGCUGCUCUUUUGUCGGCCACUGGCAAAAGCUAAGACUAACGUGGCUUAACUCGUUGCUACUUUGUCAGUUUGAAGGCAACGAGGGAUCCUUGGGAGGCUGACUAUGCAUGUAGAAGUUUGCGGGAAUUGUUUGCUGGACGGGGGUGCGAAUCCCCCCAGCUCCACCA
rnacentral:tmRNA from 1 species